GGCGAGAUGGCCGAGUUGGUUAUGGCGUGAGGUUAAGGUCAUUCUAAAAACUCUUAGCAACUAUAUUCCUCAUGGAGCAAUCCGCAUGGGUUCGAGUCCCAUUCUCGUCA